GAUGAACGCUGGCGGCGUGCUUAACACAUGCAAAUCGAACGAAGCACUUAUGAUUGAGAUUUCGGUUGAUUGAUUAAGUGACUUAGUGGCGGACGGGUGAGUAACGCGUGGGUAACCUGCCUUGUACAGGGGGAUAACAGUUAGAAAUGACUGCUAAUACCGCAUAACCCGCUAAGGUCGCAUGACCUAGACGGAAAAGAUUUAUCGGUACAAGAUGGACCCGCGUCUGAUUAGCUAGUUGGUGAGGUAACGGCCCACCAAGGCGACGAUCAGUAGCCGGCCUGAGAGGGUGACCGGCCACAUUGGGACUGAGACACGGCCCAAACUCCUACGGGAGGCAGCAGUGGGGAAUAUUGCACAAUGGGGGAAACCCUGAUGCAGCAACGCCGCGUGAGUGAAGAAGUAUUUCGGUAUGUAAAGCUCUAUCAGCAGGGAGAAAAAUGACGGUACCUGACUAAGAAAGCCCCGGCUAACUACGUGCCAGCAG
rnacentral:rRNA from 1 species